UGGGGAAUAUUGCACAAUGGAGGGAACUCUGAUGCAGCAACGCCGCGUGCGGGAUGACGGCCUUCGGGUUGUAAACCGCUUUCAGCCAUGACGAAGCUUUUGUGACGGUAGUGGUAGAAGAAGCACCGGCUAACUACGUGCCAGCAGCCGCGGUGAUACGUAGGGUGCGAGCGAUGUCCGGAAUUAUUGGGCGUAAAGAGCUUGUAGGCGGUUUGUCGCGUCGAUAGUGUAAACACGCAGCUUAACUGUGUGCCUGCUGUCGAUACGGGCUGACUAGAGGAGGGUAGGGGAGAAUGGAAUUCCCGGUGGGGCGGUGGAAUGCGCAGAUAUCGGGAGGAACACCAGUGGCGAAGGCGGUUCUCUGGACCUUUCCUGACGCUGAGAAGCGAAAGCGUGGGUAGCAAACAGG
rnacentral:rRNA from 1 species